CAUUUGUUACCCUCUUUUUCAUUUAAACUGCCCAUAACCUCCCGUUACCAUUAUAUUUUAAGAUAAGAUAUACAUACUUCUUUUAUGUUUUUAUUUUAUGAUUUUGUGUAAAUUUAUAUUGUAAGUGAAAUUUAAGAAAGAUUUUGUGCAAAUUUAUCUUAUAAUAUUUAAAUAUUAUUUUAAUUUCAUGUUAAGAAUA
rnacentral:lncRNA from 1 species